AGCCUCUUCCGGUUUACAAGUUCAAGCAGUGCUUGGACUUGGUUGGUGUUCAUUGUUGGUGAUUGCCCGUUGGGGCUUUUAUGAAGAAGGUGGAGCAAGUUUUGUUGGAACAUGCCAAGGUGGAGAUUUGUUAGUUUGGCAAGUCCCAUAGUCCCACAUCGGGAAAAUCAGACUUGUUGUCUCGUCUUGGAACUAUAAAUAAGGGCCUGAGCUUUGAAGUCAGAUGCACCACAAGAGGUACCAUAAGUGGCACCACAAGAAAAACCUAAGUGUUUUCUUUGGUUUAAGUCCAUACUCAGUUAAAUAGUUUGGACUUAUAGUUUGAUUUUUCUUGUUUAGUAUUUUCGGGUGUUUUAUGGCCUAGGAAUAUCUUCCUAAGGCAUUUGUAAUUG
rnacentral:lncRNA from 1 species